UGUAACAGGAGAACCCAGGUUGAGCCGUAGACCUCCAUCUGAUUCAAAAUGGUCAUUAAACAAGAGGUGGAGGGGCUGUCAUUCCUCGUGGGAGCUACUCAUCCCUGAGGGUGGGAACGCUGAGCAGGUGGCAGCGGUGGUGAGAUCAAGGCUGCCUCACGUUGAGGGGGGCGAUGAUAUGAGUGUAGAGAAUUAACCUUGCAUGAUCGACCGGAAGCAAACUGGUGACAAUGCGGCUUUAAAUACUUCGAAUAGUCCCCCCUCCCUCCCACCAAAUGAUAAGAAAUGGAAAUAAAUUAAAGCCCAUGGCACUACAA